UUAAGUUAUUAAGGGCGCACGGUGGAUGCCUUGGCACUAGAAGCCGAUGAAGGACGUUACUAACGACGAUAUGCUUUGGGGAGCUGUAAGUAAGCGUUGAUCCAGAGAUUUCCGAAUGGGGAAACCCAGCAUGAGUUAUGUCAUGUUAUCGAUAUGUGAAUACAUAGCAUAUCAGAAGGCAGACCCGGAGAACUGAAACAUCUUAGUACCCGGAGGAAGAGAAAGAAAAAUCGAUUCCCUGAGUAGCGGCGAGCGAAACGGGAAGAGCCCAAACCAACAAGCUUGCUUGUUGGGGUUGUAGGACACUCUAUACGGAGUUACAAAAGUAUAUAUUAGACGAAUCAUCUGGAAAGUUGAAUCAAAGAAGGUAAUAAUCCUGUAGUCGAAAAUAUAUACUCUCUUGAGUGGAUCCUGAGUACGACGGAGCACGUGAAAUUCCGUCGGAAUCUGGGAGGACCAUCUCCUAAGGCUAAAUACUCUCUAGUGACCGAUAGUGAACCAGUACCGUGAGGGAAAGGUGAAAAGUACCCCGGAAGGGGAGUGAAAGAGAACUUGAAACCGUGUGCUUACAAGUAGUCAGAGCCCGUUAAUGGGUGAUGGCGUGCCUUUUGUAGAAUGAACCGGCGAGUUACGAUUUGAUGCAAGGUUAAGCAGCUAAUGUGGAGCCGUAGCGAAAGCGAGUCUGAAUAGGGCGUUUAGUAUUUGGUCGUAGACCCGAAACCAGGUGAUCUACCCUUGGUCAGGUUGAAGUUCAGGUAACACUGAAUGGAGGACCGAACCGACUUACGUUGAAAAGUGAGCGGAUGAACUGAGGGUAGCGGAGAAAUUCCAAUCGAACUUGGAGAUAGCUGGUUCUCUCCGAAAUAGCUUUAGGGCUAGCCUCAAGUGAUGAUUAUUGGAGGUAGAGCACUGUUUGGACGAGGGGCCCUUCUCGGGUUACCGAAUUCAGACAAACUCCGAAUGCCAAUCAAUUUAACUUGGGAGUCAGAACAUGGGUGAUAAGGUCCGUGUUCGAAAGGGAAACAGCCCAGACCACCAGCUAAGGUCCCAAAAUAUAUGUUAAGUGGAAAAGGAUGUGGCGUUGCCCAGACAACUAGGAUGUUGGCUUAGAAGCAGCCAUCAUUUAAAGAGUGCGUAAUAGCUCACUAGUCGAGUGACACUGCGCCGAAAAUGUACCGGGGCUAAACAUAUUACCGAAGCUGUGGAUUGUCCGUAGGACAAUGGUAGGAGAGCGUUCUAAGGGCGUCGAAGCAUGAUCGCAAGGACAUGUGGAGCGCUUAGAAGUGAGAAUGCCGGUGUGAGUAGCGAAAGACGGGUGAGAAUCCCGUCCACCGAUUGACUAAGGUUUCCAGAGGAAGGCUCGUCCGCUCUGGGUUAGUCGGGUCCUAAGCUGAGGCCGACAGGCGUAGGCGAUGGAUAACAGGUUGAUAUUCCUGUACCACCUAGUAUCGUUUUAAUCGAUGGGGGGACGCAGUAGGAUAGGCGAAGCGUGCUAUUGGAUUGCACGUCCAAGCAGUAAGACUGAGUGUUAGGCAAAUCCGGCACUCAUAAGGUCAAGCUGUGAUGGGGAGAGGAAAUUGUUUCCUCGAGUCGUUGAUUUCACACUGCCAAGAAAAGCCUCUAGAUAGAUAACAGGUGCCCGUACCGCAAACCGACACAGGUAGUCAAGAUGAGAAUUCUAAGGUGAGCGAGCGAACUCUCGUUAAGGAACUCGGCAAAAUGACCCCGUAACUUCGGGAGAAGGGGUGCUCUUUAGGGUUAACGCCCAGAAGAGCCGCAGUGAAUAGGCCCAAGCGACUGUUUAUCAAAAACACAGGUCUCUGCUAAACCGUAAGGUGAUGUAUAGGGGCUGACGCCUGCCCGGUGCUGGAAGGUUAAGAGGAGUAGUUAGCUUCUGCGAAGCUACGAAUCGAAGCCCCAGUAAACGGCGGCCGUAACUAUAACGGUCCUAAGGUAGCGAAAUUCCUUGUCGGGUAAGUUCCGACCCGCACGAAAGGCGUAACGAUUUGGGCACUGUCUCAACGAGAGACUCGGUGAAAUCAUAGUACCUGUGAAGAUGCAGGUUACCCGCGACAGGACGGAAAGACCCCGUGGAGCUUUACUGUAGCCUGAUAUUGAAAUUCGGCACAGCUUGUACAGGAUAGGUAGGAGCCUUUGAAACGUGAGCGCUAGCUUACGUGGAGGCAUUGGUGGGAUACUACCCUAGCUGUGUUGGCUUUCUAACCCGCACCACUUAUCGUGGUGGGAGACAGUGUCAGGUGGGCAGUUUGACUGGGGCGGUCGCCUCCUAAAAGGUAACGGAGGCGCUCAAAGGUUCCCUCAGAAUGGUUGGAAAUCAUUCAUAGAGUGUAAAGGCAUAAGGGAGCUUGACUGCGAGACUUACAAGUCGAGCAGGGUCGAAAGACGGACUUAGUGAUCCGGUGGUUCCGCAUGGAAGGGCCAUCGCUCAACGGAUAAAAGCUACCCCGGGGAUAACAGGCUUAUCUCCCCCAAGAGUUCACAUCGACGGGGAGGUUUGGCACCUCGAUGUCGGCUCAUCGCAUCCUGGGGCUGUAGUCGGUCCCAAGGGUUGGGCUGUUCGCCCAUUAAAGCGGUACGCGAGCUGGGUUCAGAACGUCGUGAGACAGUUCGGUCCCUAUCCGUCGUGGGCGUAGGAAAUUUGAGAGGAGCUGUCCUUAGUACGAGAGGACCGGGAUGGACAUACCUCUGGUGUACCAGUUGUCGUGCCAACGGCAUAGCUGGGUAGCUAUGUAUGGACGGGAUAAGUGCUGAAAGCAUCUAAGCAUGAAGCCCCCCUCAAGAUGAGAUUUCCCAACUUCGGUUAUAAGAUCCCUCAAAGAUGAUGAGGUUAAUAGGUUCGAGGUGGAAGCGUGGUGACACGUGGAGCUGACGAAUACUAAUCGAUCGAAGACUUAA
rnacentral:rRNA from 1 species